GUUUGAUCCUGGCUCAGGAUGAACGCUAGCGGCAGGCCUAAUACAUGCAAGCCGAACGGUAAGAUUUGUAGCAAUACGGAUCCUAGAGUGGCGUACGGGUGCGUAACACGUAUGCAACCUACCCUUUACAGGGGGAUAGCUCGGGGAAACCCGGAUUAAUACCCCAUAAGAUCGUGUUGAGGCAUCUUGAUGCGAUAAAAACUGAGGUGGUAAAGGAUGGGCAUGCGUCUGAUUAGCUAGUUGGUGAGGUAACGGCUCACCAAGGCGAUGAUCAGUAGGGGAACUGAGAGGUUGAUCCCCCACACUGGCACUGAGAUACGGGCCAGACUCCUACGGGAGGCAGCAGUAGGGAAUAUUGGUCAAUGGGUGGAAGCCUGAGCCAGCCAUGCCGCGUGCAGGAAGACGGCCUUCUGGGUUGUAAACUGCUUUUAUCUGGGGAUAAAAUACCCUUGCGAGGGAGACUGAAGGUACCAGAUGAAUAAGCCACGGCUAACUACGUGCCAGCAGCCGCGGUAAUACGUAGGUGGCAAGCGUUAUCCGGAUUCAUUGGGUUUAAAGGGUGCGUAGGCGGCCAUUUAAGUCAGUGCUGAAAUAUCACAGCUUAACUGUGAGGGUGGCAUUGAUACUGGAUGGCUUGAGUGCUAGCGAGGCAGGCGGAAUUGACGGUGUAGCGGUGAAAUGCAUAGAUAUCGUCAAGAACACCGAUAGUGUAGACAGCUUGCCAGGGAGCAACUGACGCUGAGGCACGAAAGUGUGGGGAUCAAACAGGAUUAGAUACCCUGGUAGUCCACACUGUAAACGAUGAUGACUCGCUGUUGGCGAUAUACGGCCAGCGGGCCAAGCGAAAGCGUUAAGUCAUCCACCUGGGGAGUACGCCGGC
rnacentral:rRNA from 1 species